CGGACAGAGGCCCGCUGGCUUGGGUGUUUAGCUGUUAACUAAUUUUUUGCGGGAUCGAGGCCCGCCUGUCUAG
rnacentral:tRNA from 2 species